rnacentral:ncRNA from 1 species
GUUAAUCGCAAGAGGUGCCUUGUGCUGAGAAACGUCAUCCGUUAACUCUUAUAACCUGAUGAAGUUAGUACUUACGUAGGAAUGUGAUAGCUGAUAUGC